AGUUAAGAAUUUCAUCUAUUUUUACUUAAAAAUGGGCGUGGCUGACAAAAUAACUAAACAGUUACAAGUGACAUUUUUAUGAGUAGAAAUGAAUGAAAAUUUUAACA
rfam:Gossypium raimondii Chr07_contig_1437, whole genome shotgun sequence.